rnacentral:sRNA from 2 species
AGUUGACGCGUUCGACGCAGCAUUCCUCCCGGCUGCGUUGCGUUGGCUGUUCCCCUCUGGAGGUUUUUGACCUUCAUCCCUUAAGGGCUCCGCCGUCAUGGUGGGAGCCCUUCUUU